AAACUCUGGAGAAUCUCUUAGAUGAGUGCCGACGGUGCAAGGCUCCAAGCCGCAUGUUCCCAAUCAGCGGAACGGCUUUGGAAGCUGAAUCUCUCAGGCAAAAGGACAGAGACGG
rnacentral:ncRNA from 1 species